rnacentral:snRNA from 1 species
GUGCUCACUUUGGCAGCACAUAUACUAAAAUUGGAAUGAUACAGAGAAGAUUAACAUGGCCCCUGUUCAAGGAUGACAGGUAAAUUCAUAAAGUGUUCCAUAUUUUU